rnacentral:lncRNA from 1 species
CCGCACAAAUCUCUCACCAAACUGCAGCAGGUGACGUGGCGCCAGCUACAAUCCCGCAUUUUCCUCUCCCCCGCCCAUCUAGCACUAAUACACCCGGGACUUUUCUCGCCUGAGUGUACGUUAUGUGGAGG